UACGUAGGGGGCAAGCGUUGUCCGGAUUUAUUGGGCGUAAAGAGCGUGUAGGCGGCCAGACAGGUCCGUUGUGAAAACUUGAGGCUCAACCUCGAGACGCCGAUGGAAACCGUCUGGCUAGAGUCCGGAAGAGGAGAGUGGAAUUCCUGGUGUAGCGGUGAAAUGCGCAGAUAUCAAGGAAGAACACCCGUGGCUAAGGCGGCUCUCUAGUACGGUACUGACGCUGAGACGCGAAAGCGUGGGGAGCGAACAGG
rnacentral:rRNA from 1 species